GCCGGGCGAGGUGGCGGCGCCUGUAGUCCCAGCUACUCAGGAGGCUGAGGCAGGAGAAUGGCGGGAACCCGGGAGGCGGAGCUUGCAGUGAGCUGAGAUCCGGUCACUGCACUCCAGCCNNNNNNNNNNGGCUGGAGUGCAGUGACCGGAUCUCAGCUCACUGCAAGCUCCGCCUCCCGGGUUCCCGCCAUUCUCCUGCCUCAG
rfam:Chlorocebus sabaeus isolate 1994-021 chromosome 16, whole genome shotgun sequence.